rnacentral:rRNA from 1 species
GAUGAACGCUGGCGGCGUGCCUAACACAUGCAAGUCGAGCGGCAGCGAGGGGUGCUUGCACCCUGUCGGCGAGCGGCGGACGGCUGAGUAACGCGUGGGAACGUGCCCCAAAGUGAGGAAUAACUGCCCGAAAGGGUAGCUAAUACCGCAUAUAAUCUUCGGAUCAAAGGAUUUAUCCGCUUUGGGAGCGGCUCGCGUCGGAUUAGGUAGUUGGUGAGGUAAUGGCUCACCAAGCCGACGAUCCGUAGCUGGUCUGAGAGGAUGACCAGCCAGACUGGAACUGAGACACGGUCCAGACUCCUACGGGAGGCAGCAGUGAGGAAUCUUCCACAAUGGGCGAAAGCCUGAUGGAGCAACGCCGCGUGCAGGACGAAGGCCUUCGGGUUGUAAACUGCUUUUAUAAGUGAGGAAUAUGACGGUAACUUAUGAAUAAGGAUCGGCUAACUACGUG